UACGGUCAAGUCAUGCUGAAAAUUCUUGUUCGAUCACCGAAGUUAAGCAGUAUCGAUCCAGGUCAGUACUUAGAUGGGACACUACUUGGGAACACCGGGUACUGUAAG